rnacentral:rRNA from 1 species
UGGGGAAUUUUGGACAAUGGGCGAAAGCCUGAUCCAGCAAUGCCGCGUGUGUGAAGAAGGCCUUCGGGUUGUAAAGCACUUUUGUCCGGAAAGAAAUCCUUGGCUCUAAUACAGUCGGGGGAUGACGGUACCGGAAGAAUAAGCACCGGCUAACUACGUGCCAGCAGCCGCGGUAAUACGUAGGGUGCAAGCGUUAAUCGGAAUUACUGGGCGUAAAGCGUGCGCAGGCGGUUUGCUAAGACCGAUGUGAAAUCCCCGGGCUCAACCUGGGAACUGCAUUGGUGACUGGCAGGCUAGAGUAUGGCAGAGGGGGGUAGAAUUCCACGUGUAGCAGUGAAAUGCGUAGAGAUGUGGAGGAAUACCGAUGGCGAAGGCAGCCCCCUGGGCCAAUACUGACGCUCAUGCACGAAAGCGUGGGGGAGCAAACAGGAUUAGAUACCCUGGUAGUCCACGCCCUAAACGAUGUCAACUAGUUGUUGGGGAUUCAUUUCCUUAGUAACGUAGCUAACGCGUGAAGUUGACCGCCUGGGGAGUACGGUCGCAAGAUUAAAACUCAAAUGAAUUGACGGGGUCAUAGCUGUUU